GCCUUGCCAGCCCGCUCAGAAACUCAAAGGAAUUGACGGGGGCCCGCACAAGCGGAGGAGCAUGUGGUUUAAUUCGAUGAUACGCGAGGAACCUUACCUGGGGCUCGAACGUAAGAUGACUGUAGGUGAAAGCUUACAUCUCUUCGGAGCAUUUUACGAGGUGCUGCAUGGUUGUCGUCAGCUCGUGCCGUGAGGUGUCGGGUUAAGUCCCAUAACGAGCGCAACCCCUACCUUUAGUUGCCAUCAGGUAAUGCUGGGGACUCUAAAGGAACUGCCUACGCAAGUAGUGAGGAAGGCGGGGAUGACGUCAAAUCAGCACGGCCCUUACGUCCAGGGCUACACACGUGCUACAAUGGCCGGUACAAAGGGCAGCUACCUGGUGACAGGAUGCUAAUCUCAAAAGCCGGUCUCAGUUCGGAUCGGAGUCUGCAACCCGACUCCGUGAAGUUGGAUUCGCUAGUAAUCGCGCAUCAGCCAUGGCGCGGUGAAUACGUUCCCGGGCCUU
rnacentral:rRNA from 1 species